rnacentral:rRNA from 1 species
GACGAACGCUGGCGGCGUGCUUAACACAUGCAAGUCGAACGGAAAGGCCCUGCUUUUGUGGGGUGCUCGAGUGGCGAACGGGUGAGUAACACGUGAGUAACCUGCCCUUGACUUUGGGAUAACUUCAGGAAACUGGGGCUAAUACCGGAUAGGAGCUCCUGCUGCAUGGUGGGGGUUGGAAAGUUUCGGCGGUUGGGGAUGGACUCGCGGCUUAUCAGCUUGUUGGUGGGGUAGUGGCUUACCAAGGCUUUGACGGGUAGCCGGCCUGAGAGGGUGACCGGCCACAUUGGGACUGAGAUACGGCCCAGACUCCAACGGUAGGCAGCAGUGGGGAAUAUUGCACAAUGGGCGGAAGCCUGAUGCAGCAACGCCGCGUGCGGGAUGACGGCCUUCGGGUUGUAAACCGCUUUCGCCUGUGACGAAGCGUGAGUGACGGUAAUGGGUAAAGAAGCACCGGCUAACUACGUG